GAUGAACGCUGGCGGCGUGCCUAAUACAUGCAAGUCGAGCGAACAGACGAGGAGCUUGCUCCUCUGACGUUAGCGGCGGACGGGUGAGUAACACGUGGAUAACCUACCUAUAAGACUGGGAUAACUUCGGGAAACCGGAGCUAAUACCGGAUAAUAUAUUGAACCGCAUGGUUCAAUAGUGAAAGACGGUUUUGCUGUCACUUAUAGAUGGAUCCGCGCCGCAUUAGCUAGUUGGUAAGGUAACGGCUUACCAAGGCAACGAUGCGUAGCCGACCUGAGAGGGUGAUCGGCCACACUGGAACUGAGACACGGUCCAGACUCCUACGGGAGGCAGCAGUAGGGAAUCUUCCGCAAUGGGCGAAAGCUUGACGGAGCAACGCCGCGUGAGUGAUGAAGGUCUUCGGAUCGUAAAACUCUGUUAUUAGGGAAGAACAAAUGUGUUAGUAACUAUGCACGUCUUGACGGUACCUAAUCAGAAAGCCACGGCUAACUACGUG
rnacentral:rRNA from 1 species